rnacentral:rRNA from 1 species
GUCUUAAUUGGGCGUUAAGUUGCAGGGUAUAGACCCGAAACCCGGUGAUCUAGCCAUGGGCAGGUUGAAGGUUGGGUAACACUAACUGGAGGACCGAACCGACUAAUGUUGAAAAAUUAGCGGAUGACCUGUGGCUGGGGGUGAAAGGCCAAUCAAACCGGGAGAUAGCUGGUUCUCCCCGAAAGCUAUUUAGGUAGCGCCUCGUGAAUUCAUCUCCGGGGGUAGAGCACUGUUUCGGCUAGGGGGCCAUCCCGGCUUACCAACCCGAUGCAAACUGCGAAUACCGGAGAAUGUUAUCACGGGAGACACACGGCGGGUGCUAACGUCCGUCGUGAAGAGGGAAACAACCCAGACCGCCAGCUAAGGUCCCAAAGUCAUGGUUAAGUGGGAAACGAUGUGGGAAGGCCCAGACAGCCAGGAUGUUGGCUUAGAAGCAGCCAUCAUUUAAAGAAAGCGUAAUAGCUCACUGGUCGAGUCGGCCUGCGCGGAAGAUGUAACGGGGCUAAACCAUGCACCGAAGCUGCGGCAGCGACACUGUGUGUUGUUGGGUAGGGGAGCGUUCUGUAAGCCUGUGAAGGUGUGUCGUGAGGC